rnacentral:rRNA from 1 species
GAUGAACGCUAGCGAUAGGCUUAACACAUGCAAGUCGAGGGGCAGCAUGGUCUUAGCUUGCUAAGACUGAUGGCGACCGGCGCACGGGUGCGUAACGCGUAUGCAACUUGCCUCACAGAGGGGGAUAACCCGUCGAAAGACGGACUAAUACCGCGUACACUUGGGAUAGGGCAUCCUAACCCAAGGAAAUGAAAUUCGCUGUGAGAUAGGCAUGCGUCCCAUUAGCUAGUUGGUGAGGUAACGGCUCACCAAGGCGACGAUGGGUAGGGGAACUGAGAGGUUGAACCCCCACACUGGUACUGAGACACGGACCAGACUCCUACGGGAGGCAGCAGUGAGGAAUAUUGGUCAAUGGGCGAGAGCCUGAACCAGCCAAGUCGCGUGAAGGAUGACUGUCUUAUGGAUUGUAAACUUCUUUUAUACGGGAAUAACAAGAGUCACGUGUGACUCCCUGCA